UACGUAGGGGCGAGCGUUGUCCGGAAUCAUUGGGCGUAAAGAGCGUGUAGGCGGUCCGGUAAGUCAGCUGUGAAAGUCAAGGGCUCAACCCUUGAAUGCCGGUUGAUACUGUCGGGCUAGAGUCCGGAAGAGGCGAGUGGAAUUCCCGGUGUAGGCGGUGAAAUGCGCAGAUAUCGGGAGGAACACCAAUGGCGAAGGCGAGCUCGCCUGG
rnacentral:rRNA from 1 species